AGGCACCACGAGGGCUUAACUGUCUCCCUCUUUCCAAUUAAUGAAACUGAUCUUCUCGUGAAUUUACUUCUUAUUACACCACUGUAUAUAGUAAAAUUUACUUGAUAGUUUUCGGCUGGGGUGACCCUGGAGAAAAACAAAUCCUCCAGGAUGAACGGAAUAAUAAUCCUAAUCAAAGAGCUACAGCUCUAUGAAUCAAAAUAUUGACAGAUUUGAUCCAAUUACUUGAUCAACGAACCAAGUUACCCUGGGGAUAACAGCGCAAUCCAUUUCAAGAGCCCCUAUCGACAAAUGGGUUUACGACCUCGAUGUUGGAUCGGGGUGUCCCAGUGGCGCAACCGCUACUAAAGGUUCGUUUGUUCAACGAUUAAUAACCCC
rnacentral:rRNA from 1 species